rnacentral:rRNA from 1 species
AAAUUAAAAAGAUAGUGUCUGCUUGCAGAACUUGCAUACAGGUGCUGCACGGCUGUCGUCAGCUCGUGUCGUGAGAUGUUGGGUUAAGUCCCGCAACGAGCGCAACCCUCGUCCUUAGUUGCUAACAGUUCGGCUGAGAACUCUAAGGAGACUGCCUACGCAAGUAGGAGGAAGGUGAGGAUGACGUCAAGUCAUCAUGGCCCUUACGUCCAGGGCUACACACGUGCUACAAUGGGGUAUACAAAGAGCAGCAAUACGGUGACGUGGAGCAAAUCUCAAAAAUGCCUCCCAGUUCGGAUUGUAGUCUGCAACUCGACUACAUGAAGUUGGAAUCGCUAGUAAUCGUAGAUCAGCUAUGCUACGGUGAAUACGA